rnacentral:lncRNA from 1 species
CUGGUCCUGCCAGCUUCACAGGUUGCUGUACAUAGAGGAAUGGUUGGUUGAAAGUGCCCUGCAUAACGCAAGCUCUUUAGGACUCGCAAACAGCCUUAAUCGCAGUAAGGGGGCACAUCAGGGCUGUGAGAAGGCCCCCUUGAGGGCUCGGCACAGGUGAUUCUGGGCUCUCUGUGCUUGCCAGCCUCCUAAAGUAGGUGCCCACUUUCAGAAGCUCUGCACGCCCCACCUGGGCGCCUCUGCUGGAGGUCUGCCUGGCCCGGGGCACCCGUGUGCGCGCGAGGAUUUCUUUUGCAGAGAAUGAAACCACCGUUCCUUUCCGUCCGUGGUCUACUCCGGGGUCCCCAUCCCACGCCAUAUUCUGCUGAUGGAGAAAUGGGAUCUCACCCAAGGAAAGUGACUUGCCAGGGUUACACCACUGGUAAGUGGAGACCUAUGACUUGAACCUGUCUCUAACUCCAGAGACUGUACUUUCUCGCGUUUAUGCUUUUUGGCAGUUCUUUCCUCUUCAUUCCCCCAUCUCUCCAAUUACACAUUCAUAUACACAUAAACACUCCGAUACCCUCAAACUACCAGAAGCCACGUCAGAGACUUGAGAACUUUGGACCAGGAACUGAUGGAGACAAAGAUGACCUAGGAAGAUGGCUACAUUGGGAAUGGAGGCAGAGAUUGGAGUUAUGUGGCCACAAGGGAAGGAACUCCUGGGGCUCCCAGAAGCUGGAAGAAACAAGGAUCCUUCCCCUAUAGGCUUUGGAGGGAGCGUGGCUCUGCAACACCUUGGUUUUGGACUUCUAGCUCCAGAAGUGUAAGAGAAUAAAUUUCUGUGAUCUCAUAUUCAGUUCAUGGUGCUAUAUCAUGGUAGCCCUAGAAACUAAGAUACACAGGUAUGUUGGAUGUAUGGGUCAGGCCCACACCCAGGGUGCAUACGGCCUUUGGUUAAAAAAAAACUCUCAUUUCUGUGGGGAAUCCAUUGCCAGUGGUCUGGAUGACAUGGCCACUGCCUCUCUUCAGGGAUGUGCACAAGACCCUGGCCUGGCCAAUCAGAAUACCUCAUGCCCAGGACCACAGUAACUGGGUCAGGGGUUGUCAAGAUUUAUAUAAAUGAUUUACAUAAAAUGUUUAAAUGUUUUGUUAAAAUAUUUAAAAUAAAAAAUGUUUCUAAGAUUUCAGUUGCCAAUUGUUUUUUGUGAGUAUAUACAAAUACAACUGAUUUUUACAUAUUGGUUUUGUAUCCUGUAUACUUGCUAAAUUCAUGCAUUAGUUGUAUUUUUCUAGAUUUCUUAGAAUUUUCUAUGUACACAAAUCACAAUGUCUGUGAAUAUACACGACAUUACUUCUUCGUUUCCAAAACUUAUGCUUUUCACUUCUUGUUCUUGCCUUGUUGCACUGGGUAGAACCUCAGUUGUAUAUUAAAUAUAUUUUUUAAAAAGGUAGACAUUUGAGCCUUGUUUCCAAUCUUGGGAAGACACUAUUCAGUCUUUUGCCCUUGUCUGCUUCUAAGCUGCCAAAGCCUGUGCUGUGGUGGGGAAAUGUCACUCUGUGGGCCAGCCAUGGUGUGAGUGUGCAGAUGGGACAGCAGCAGCAGGUGCAUUCUCCUGGGAGGCCAGGCCUGGUGGCAGGCAUCUGUAAUCCCUGCUAUUUGGGAGGCUGAAGCUGGAGGGUGGCUUGAGCCUGGGAGUUCGAGUCCAGCCUGAGCCACACAGCGAGACACUGUCUCUUAAAACAAAAAAUAAAAAACAAAACCAACAACCCCCACGCCUGCCUGCCAAAUUUUCCUGGGGAAGGCAAGACACACAAUUAAGAAAGUAAACAUUAUGUCAUCCUUGUCUGUAUCUCAGUAGCCAUAGUUGUGGAUUCCUUCAGUUCUCUCUUGGUAGAAGGUGGGGCCUGAAUAAAUGACGACAUAAAGCCAGCUGAACUUAGUGAGCAGAGCCUCCCAGAUGCUGCAAACUCAAGGAGGCCUCUGUGCUCAGAUCUUUAUUUUCUCUCUCUCUCUCUCUCUGUCUCUGGCACAGCGUUUAUGCUUUUUGGCAGUUCUUUCCUCUUCAAUCCCCCAUCUCUUCAAUUACACAUUCAUGUACACAUCAACACUCCGAUACCCUCAAACUACCAGAAGCCACAUCAGAGACUUGAGAGCUUUGGACCAGGAACUGAUGGAGACAAAGACGACCUAGGAAUGGUUGCUUGCCCUACCCUCAGGAGUUUACAAUUACUGAUAGAGACAGAAGUCUUUGCAGGAGGUGGGGGGCGGGGGGUAGGAGAAACUUUACAAACACACCUGUCAGCAUACACAGGGAUAAUAAUAGGAAAGGGGGUUUUCAUACAAGGGAAGCAUCUGGAAACUGGGAGGG